GACGAACGCUGGCGGCAUGCCUAACACAUGCAAGUCGAGCGAGUAGAUCCCUUCGGGGUGAAGCUAGCGGCGGACGGGUGAGUAACACGUGGGCAACCUGCCUCAUAGAGGGGAAUAGCCUUCCGAAAGGAAGAUUAAUACCGCAUAAGAUUGUAGCUUCGCAUGAAGCAGCAAUUAAAGGAGCAAUCCGCUAUGAGAUGGGCCCGCGGCGCAUUAGCUAGUUGGUGAGGUAACGGCUCACCAAGGCGACGAUGCGUAGCCGACCUGAGAGGGUGAUCGGCCACAUUGGGACUGAGACACGGCCCAGACUCCUACGGGAGGCAGCAGUGGGGAAUAUUGCACAAUGGGGGAAACCCUGAUGCAGCAAUGCCGCGUGAGUGAUGACGGCCUUCGGGUUGUAAAGCUCUGUCUUCGGGGACGAUAAUGACGGUACCCGAGGAGGAAGCCACGGCUAACUACGUGCCAGCAGCCGCCGCGG
rnacentral:rRNA from 1 species